rnacentral:rRNA from 1 species
GAGUUUGAUCAUGGCUCAGAUUGAACGCUGGCGGCAUGCCUUACACAUGCAAGUCGAACGGUAACAGGUCUUCGGAUGCUGACGAGUGGCGAACGGGUGAGUAAUACGUCGGAACGUGCCCGAUCGUGGGGGGAUAACGAAGCGAAAGCUUUGCUAAUACCGCAUAAGAUCUACGGAUGAAAGCAGGGGACCGCAAGGCCUUGCGCGAACGGAGCGGCCGAUGGCAGAUUAGGUAGUUGGUGGGAUAAAAGCUUACCAAGCCGACGAUCUGUAGCUGGUCUGAGAGGACGACCAGCCACACUGGGACUGAGACACGGCCCAGACUCCUACGGGAGGCAGCAGUGGGGAAUUUUGGACAAUGGGCGAAAGCCUGAUCCAGCCAUGCUGCGUGCAGGAUGAAGGCCUCGGUUGUAAC